GACGAACCACCCAAACGUUAUUCGGAAUUACUGGGCUUAAAGGGUGCGUAGGCGGCGCGGAAAGUUGGGUGUGAAAUCCCUCGGCUCAACCGAGGAACUGCGCUCAAAACUACCGUGCUCGAGGAAGACAGAGGUAAGCGGAACUUCGGGUGGAGCGGUGAAAUGCGUUGAUAUCCGAAGGAACACCGGUGGCGAAAGCGGCUUACUGGGUCUUUUCUGACGCUGAUGCACGAAAGCCAGGGGAGCAAACGGGAUUAGAAACCCCAGUAGUCC
rnacentral:rRNA from 1 species